rnacentral:lncRNA from 1 species
AAAAAGAUGAAACAAUUCCUGUGUAAAUACUACUUCAUCAAAAAAAAAAUCCUAUGUUAAAACUUUGCAGCAGUUUUCUGCUCUUUAGAAACAAUACUUUUACCAUUCUAAAAUAAGAAAAGGAUGAAACAAUACCAAGUUGGUGCUGCUCUUUAGGGAAGAUCAAAUAUACUUAAAGUAAUUUAGUCAUAAACAUGAAGUGCGUGUUACCCAUCCUUAUGAUUAGUUACUGCUCUGAAGAGCUUAAAAUAUCAAUACAAUCAUGUAUACCAUUUACAUCAUUUUGAUUACACAAAUAAAUAAGUCCUAACACAACCCUCAGGGGUUGGCCUGCUGGCAAUUGACUUGAGCCUUGGGGUUUGCUCCCUUUCAAGGUCUCAAGUUCGAAACCCACUGGGUGCAAACAAUUUCUGAGGGCCAUCGGACUGGGUAAAACCUGAAUUAACCGUGGUGC